rnacentral:misc_RNA from 1 species
AAGACUAUCACUGGUAAAAUGCGAUACAAUUGAAGGUGUUACUGUGUUAGAAGAUUCAAUAGAAUUCGCAAAUAAGAUUCUCCAUAUAAAUACAGACAACAUUGACCCUCUGUAUACUGUAUUGGAAGAAGAAGUAUUUCAUUUUGCAGGCAUUUAAGUUUACGUAAUGAUGUUAUUACUCAAGGUAACUGUCAAGAGGAUAUUCUAAAGAAUGCUGUUAUAAAGGAAGAUGAUUACUUUGUUGCCCCACCAGGAAACAUACCAUUACAUGAAAUUGAACAAAAUGAUACUAAAGUUGUUUUAAACAAAAAUGAGCGCUCAAAUGAAACAAGUAUUUAAUUUAAGAACAUUCUUCUCAUUUAUAAAAAAGAUAGAUAAUAAACAUUUAUACAAAAUAGAACCCUCAAGUAAAAACAUUUUACACAACAUUCAUAUAAGCUGGUUAAAUUCCAUACAUUCAAAGUCACAGUCAAAUUUUCCAGUAUAUUUAAAAAAAGAAAAAGACCAUGCUGGUGUAAAGAACACUUUAUGCUAUGGGUUUAUUGAGAAAACAUUUGAUUUAUAUCCUGAAAUGAUAGUUUUUUAUGAAGACGAGUGUAAUAUUAAGAAUGAAUCAGUAUUGAAGCUAAUGCUAACUGUACCAAAACAAGACAUAAUGCAGUACUUCUUUCAGUGGCAAAGAUAUAGAAAGUAUUGGUGGAGUUCAACUACCACCACUCCAAGUUUAUUUGCAGUGAAGGAUAUGACACAUGGACCCUCUACUAUAGACACUCAGAUAGUUGCAAAGUUCCAUGAUAAUGAAAUUAUUGUUGAAAAUGUAUCAAUAAGCACAGUUAAAAAUCUUUCGGAACACACUGCAAUUCUAACAUGUAGCAUGUCUUUAGAAACAGCUCUAUGUACUCUAUUGCUGGAUGGAGUGUUAAAUAAAACAACAAAUGGCUAUUUGCGGCUUCACAAUAAAAUGGCUCCAUAUAAAAUUUCCUUUGCAUUAAACUGUCAAGAUUCAAAUAAUCAACAAAUACUGGAACAAUUGGCAACUCUCAUUUACAGCAAACUCAAUGCAAGACACAUAUCAACAUUGUUAUCUAAUUUCUCACUACCACUGCAAGCUCAGAAGAAAAUCUCGAAAGGGGUGUCACAUAUACAGCAAUUUUAAGUGAUGACUCUCUUAAAAAUGGCAUUUUUCAAUUGCUUAACAGCAGUACUAUGUUGAAGGAACAAGUUCAUUUAUCGGACUUUGAAGACUAUGCAUCUUUAAUUUGUAGUAAAUAGUUUUAUGCAGAAGUAUUUAACAUUUGUAAAUAAAAAGUAUUAAACCUAA